AUUGAAAAAACAGUUUCACGCAGCAAAAAGAAAAAGAAACAAAAAAACAGUCCUUCCCUGAACAAAAAUAAAAACAAAAAAAAAAAGUUUCUCUUAUGAAACUCUGUUCUCCGUCUUUCUGUUGUCCUUCUCCGUUUUUCUGUUCUUCUUUGUUCAUCGUAUAUGUUCUUCUUAGAUUUUUGUUGUAAUUAUAGUUUGUUUGUUUUUAUUUUGCAGAUACAGUUUUUGAAGAUGAGAUACUAUUAGGGUUUCGUUUUGUAGGUCACCAAGACAAUAAACGCUAUACUAAAGGUUUUGCUCCUGAUAAACAAUAAAAUCCCAUCAAAUUUCGGUAAACCCUAAGCUUAUUCGGUGUUUCUCUGAUUAUAAAUCCAUCAAAUUUCAAUUCCGUUCAAAGUGCGUCAAACGACUGAGGAUGUGCUGAGUUCUGUGCACGAAUCUAUAAACAAUAAAAUCCCAUCAAAUUUCGGUAAACCCUAAGCUUAUUCUUUGUGUUUCUCUGAUUAUAAAUCCAUCAAAUUUCAAUUCCGUUCAAAGUGCGUCAAACGACUGAGGAUGUGCUGAGUUCUGUGCACGAAUCUAUAAGCUUGGGUUUCAUUGCUGAUUGAUCGUUUGGUUGGUUCUUUGUUAACUGCAUCCUCGCCAUUUCGGCCCAAAUCUACGUGACAAGUUGGUCGCAAGGCUCAUGAAAUAUGUGGAAGGAAGGUACAGGGUUUGUAAAUCAUGUUUUGACUCAUUAGACAUUUUCUUCCAAUUAUUUUUGUGGAGAUGUUGUAUUUUUUUUUGGAGUACAUACUCUAAUUAAUUUGCUAGUAGUAAGAUGUGAAGUACGUUAUAUUAUGGAAAUGUGUUGGCAAUGGGUGGUGAUGGUCCUGAUGGAUGAAUGCAAAAAACAAUGUACGUGGGUUUGUUUGUGGUUCUGGUGGUAAUCUAAUUAGAAACGUAGAUUAUUUUGUUAAUGUAGGUUAACUGUAUAUGCAUUUUGGAAGUAAUGGGGGUUUGUAGAUUUACCAGGUGAAAGAUUGCUUUAUUUGUGUUUCUUAGAUUUAGUGUAGGUUAACUGUAUAAGUCAUCGGUAUGUCAGAAUGUAGCUUCUCUAACCUUAAUGAUCAAAUGGCGCUAAUCUACUCCGAGUCUGAUGUAACGGUAGACUGUUAACAUCAACCUUAAUUCACGAAUUGUACUUAGCAGUACUAAGAGGAAAAAAAUUGUUGAUAAUUUUGUUCAUUGCCAGCUUUGGGACUAUAUGAGAGAACCUAGGAGCCGACACUCUUUCGGUCAUUCUAUACACUGUACAAGUUGUGAAGUUUGUAUACGGUAGCAUCCCAGUUUACCAGGUAAUGGGUAAUGAUGUUGAACCCAAGAUCAAUAACAAACAAGCAAGACACUAACUAUGCUAAGCAACAGGAUAAUUUGAUGUCUACAUUUGGCACUGGGUUUUAGCCGAGUCUCAGUAUCCCGUUUCUUUGAAUUACAUAUCGUGCCUGAACUAAAGAUAUAUCCAAGGAUUAAUUAUAUUCUUUGGUAAACCUCU